AUGAAACUGAUCGGUUGGAACUGCCGGGGCCUCGGGAACGGCCUGGCAGUUCGUAGCCUCCUUGAGCUAGGGAGGACGGAGGAGCCUGACGUGUUGUUUUUGGCGGAGACGAAAUUAACAGAGAAGGAUCUUGAAAAGUUUCGAUGGUCGUUGGGGUUAGCAAAUAUGGUGGUUUGGAAUGCUGUGGGUCGAAGUAGAGGUGUAGCGCUUUUUUGGAGGAGA
rnacentral:rRNA from 1 species